UUUAAAUUUAGAGUUUGAUCCUGGCUCAGGACGAACGCUGGCGGCGUGCUUAACACAUGCAAGUCGAGCGAUGAAGCUUCCUUCGGGAAGUGGAUUAGCGGCGGACGGGUGAGUAACACGUGGGUAACCUGCCUCAAAGUGGGGGAUAGCCUUCCGAAAGGAAGAUUAAUACCGCAUAAUAUAAGAGAAUCGCAUGAUUUUCUUAUCAAAGAUUUAUUGCUUUGAGAUGGACCCGCGGCGCAUUAGCUAGUUGGUGAGGUAACGGCUUACCAAGGCAACGAUGCGUAGCCGACCUGAGAGGGUGAUCGGCCACAUUGGAACUGAGACACGGUCCAGACUCCUACGGGAGGCAGCAGUGGGGAAUAUUGCGCAAUGGGGGAAACCCUGACGCAGCAACGCCGCGUGGGUGAUGAAGGUCUUCGGAUUGUAAAGCCCUGUUUUCUAGGACGAUAAUGACGGUACUAGAGGAGGAAGCCACGGCUAACUACGUGCCAGCAGCCGCGGUAAUACGUAGGUGGCGAGCGUUGUCCGGAUUUACUGGGCGUAAAGGGUGCGUAGGCGGAUGUUUAAGUGGGAUGUGAAAUCCCCGGGCUUAACCUGGGGGCUGCAUUCCAAACUGGAUAUCUAGAGUGCAGGAGAGGAAAGCGGAAUUCCUAGUGUAGCGGUGAAAUGCGUAGAGAUUAGGAAGAACACCAGUGGCGAAGGCGGCUUUCUGGACUGUAACUGACGCUGAGGCACGAAAGCGUGGGUAGCAAACAGGAUUAGAUACCCUGGUAGUCCACGCCGUAAACGAUGGAUACUAGGUGUAGGGGGUAUCAACUCCCCCUGUGCCGCAGUUAACACAAUAAGUAUCCCGCCUGGGGAGUACGGUCGCAAGAUUAAAACUCAAAGGAAUUGACGGGGGCCCGCACAAGCAGCGGAGCAUGUGGUUUAAUUCGAAGCAACGCGAAGAACCUUACCUGGACUUGACAUCCCUUGCAUAGCCUAGAGAUAGGUGAAGCCCUUCGGGGCAAGGAGACAGGUGGUGCAUGGUUGUCGUCAGCUCGUGUCGUGAGAUGUUAGGUUAAGUCCUGCAACGAGCGCAACCCUUGUUAUUAGUUGCUACCAUUAAGUUGAGCACUCUAAUGAGACUGCCUGGGUAACCAGGAGGAAGGUGGGGAUGACGUCAAAUCAUCAUGCCCCUUAUGUCCAGGGCUACACACGUGCUACAAUGGUAGGUACAAUAAGACGCAAGACCGUGAGGUGGAGCAAAACUUAUAAAACCUAUCUCAGUUCGGAUUGUAGGCUGCAACUCGCCUACAUGAAGCUGGAGUUGCUAGUAAUCGCGAAUCAGAAUGUCGCGGUGAAUACGUUCCCGGGCCUUGUACACACCGCCCGUCACACCAUGAGAGCUGGUAACACCCGAAGUCCGUGAGGUAACCGUAAGGAGCCAGCGGCCGAAGGUGGGAUUAGUGAUUGGGGUGAAGUCGUAACAAGGUAGCCGUAGGAGAACCUGCGGCUGGAUCACCUCCUUUCUA
rnacentral:rRNA from 1 species